GUCCACUGAACCUUAUCAUUUAGAGGAAGGAGAAGUCGUAACAAGGUUUCCGUAGGUGAACCUGCGGAAGGAUCAUUGUCGAAACCUGCCCAGCAGAACGACCCGCGAACUCGUGAAGAAACUCGCGGGGGCGGGCCGACGCGAGCGCGAGCUAGCGUCGCCGGCCCCCGCCCGCCGCGGGGUCGAGACCCGUCUCGGUCCCCCGCGGCGAAACAACGAACCCCGGCGCGAGCUGCGCCAAGGAAAAUCCAACGAGAGAGCGCGCCCCCGACGCCCCGGACACGGUGCGCGCUCGGGGUGCGUCGCCUUCUUUCACCGAAAUCCAAAACGACUCUCGGCAACGGAUAUCUCGGCUCUCGCAUCGAUGAAGAACGUAGCGAAAUGCGAUACUUGGUGUGAAUUGCAGAAUCCCGUGAACCAUCGAGUCUUUGAACGCAAGUUGCGCCCCAAGCCAUCAGGCCGAGGGCACGUCUGCCUGGGUGUCACGCAUCGUUGCCCCCCCACACAAACCCCCCCGGGGGAAGGUGUCGGGGCCGGGCGGAGACUGGCCUCCCGUGCGCUGCCCGCUCGCGGUUGGCCCAAAUCCGAGUCUUUCGGCGACCGAGCCGCGACGAUCGGUGGUGAGAACAAGCCUCUCGAGCUCCAGUCGCGCGCCCGCGUCCCCGUGUCAGGGACUCGCGGACCCUUUGCACGCCCGCCCUCUGGGCGAUGCUCGCUUCGCGACCCCAGGUCAGGCGGGACUACCCGCUGAGUUUAAGCAUAUCAAUAAGCGGAGGA
rnacentral:rRNA from 1 species